CGCGUUCUUUCAGCGAUCGGCCGCGUGUCUGGGAAGCAUGGCGCCACGGUGGGGUGCAGCACCGCUGAGCAGCCUUACAGGCUUUGGGUGAUGCCUUUCUCUAGCUUCUGGGGAGAUGAGAAGCAGAGCUGCAGGUUGCAGUUUAAAAGUAACGGAACCGCAAAAUGAGAAAAGAUGGAUGCAAGCAGGUCCUGGGGGUGGUCACCAGAAAGCAGAGAUGGCGUGAUGUUCCGGCACAUCCACCUCAUAAGUUGUUCCAAGUUAAGUUGAAUAUCCAUGGUAUUGGCUGUGGACUUGUGAAACCCAUCAUCUUAAAAUAUUGA
rnacentral:lncRNA from 1 species